CUCAGAAUAUCACACGUGCCUCCCACCGCUUAGCCUAAUCCCCUCUGCCUUAUCCCUUCCAUGCUCCAUCCUAGCACUCAAUUCCAUCUCUCUCUAAAUCAAUCGCCAUUCUCUCAAAAAAAAAAUCAAUCCCCAUGGGAGAUGAGAGAGCAGCUGAAAGGAGGCGUGUUGUGCGAGGCUCCGCGAGGCCGCCGCCGCCGAGCGCGUCGCGGGAGGCUCCGCCAAGACGCCUUUGACGGCCGCCGCCGUUCUGCCGUGCCCCCAUCCUUCUGCCUUGGCUCUCGCCUCCAUCAAAUCGCCACCGUCCUUAUUUCUCAGCCUCUCCCUGCCGAGCUGGCCAUCACCAAGAGCCACCUCGCAGCGACGGCCAUAGAGAUAAUUCGUUCCAAACCAGACAUGGAAACCAAGCACGGCACCGUAUCGCGGGGUAGGAGGAGGAGGCCAAUAACCGGUGUGGUUGAGGAGUUCCGGCGGAUAUCCGGGACGAGGUCCGACUGCUCCUGUUGGAGCUGGCUGCGGCGCGCGUCGCGAAGGACGCGCUAGAGCAGCAGGUGCUCCUCUGGCGCCAGCCGGUGCGCGCGGUGCGCGUGGGAGUGGGCGCUGUCAAAACCAACACCUGCGCGCUGUGGUGGUUCACGGCCGUGGAGCAGAUCGCCGUUUGCGCCAGGAGAGGAUGCGACGGCGACGACAGAGGGCAGCGGCAGAGAGUUUUCCUCACGCUGUCACGUCUUGCGGUCAUCGGUCGUUGAGUUUUGCCCCCGCCGUCAUCUAAGUUUGUUACUAAAAAAUCUUCUCUACUCUAAUUGAGUUCUAUAAGCCUAGCUGGGAUCAAACGUCCUCUACGUUUUGGUACAGUGAUAUGACUGAAAGUAACCAAACCUGAAAAGUUUAGGCACGAUUAGAAGUACAUGUAGAUUACUUUGUGUUCCCUACAAUUUUGUAGCUCCAUAUGUGCUAAUUGUUCACUAGAAGAACGAAUGAUAUGCUUUUGCUGCUUGGAGUUGGUAAUUAAGAAAUUAACGAUUAAUAAAUUAGGAAAUGGGCUCAUGCUUGCAAUGUUCAGAUAAAUCACCAUCCAUAAUGGCGAAAAGUAGAAGAUGAUCCAAUCUGGGAUCUCUUAAUGUUCGAGUAGAAUCUAGGAGGCUUUGCAGAUUUAUACAGCGGAGAUGUCCAGAAAGGCUCAACAAUUACUCACCUGGGAGUGCUAAUCAGUCAACGGUUUUUGCUACAAACUAGCAGGGGUAAUGGUUAUAUAUUUUUGGCUCUAUUAUCUUUUGUAUCUGUGCUCGAGAGUAAAAAAUCCAUAGAAGAACAAAUGAUAUGCUUUUGCUGCUUGGAGUUGGUAAUUAAGAAAUUAAUGGUUACUUAAUUAGGAAAUGAUCUCAUGCUUGCAAUGUUCAGAUGAAUAACCAUUCAUAAUGGCGCAAAUCUACCAUAAAAUGUACAAUCGUCUGGAGCAAGGUCAUUGUGCUGGUUGGUUCAUCUUUGUCUGGAUAGAGAUACAGAAAUAAGUGGUUUUAGUUUUCUGAAGUGUUAUUAGAGGAUCGUAGUACGUAAUGCUGUGGAGUUUUUUUGUUUUGUUUUGGACAUUCUCUUUUCAAUUUAUACCUGUUUAAUGCUGGACUGGGGCUACUUCUUGCCGGUAGAUUAGGUUAGCCGUGUUUGGUGCAGAAGCCAUGUCAAGAUAUGAUCUAAACAUUAUUUCUAGGGAUGGAUGCAGGUAAUUAUUCUUUAAACUAAUCCUAUUUAUAUUAUCAGUCAAAAUCUCCUAUCUUUAUUUUGUCAAAGGAAGCUGGAUAGGAAGCUUCAUCCAUUAUUUAUAGUACGGAGAUUUGUUUUAUGCAUUAAUUUAAGCUUAUUACAUGGUGGGCAGAUAUUAACUACUCCAUAGUUUAUUAGCAUGCAUGGUCCGGUUGGAUUGAUACUAUAUGCAUCAUGUACCUAUUUCAGGUUAUAGGAAACUGACCAUCACUCUUACAAGAAUGCAGUGGUACUAUUUGAUACAUGCAAGAGAAGUGUUUCUGAAUAUUCAACCAGGAAAAAAUUGUUAGUCCUGAAGCAGUUUGUAUGAAUCUAUGGUGGACUGAAGAUGGUUCGUGCAAAAAGGAAAACAAAAAUGAGGUAUCUAUUUCUGCUAAACGCCUAAACCAUAGGUAAUGUUUUUGUUCAAGACUUCUAUGAGCAAUUGUCAGCAGCAUACAAGACCAUGUGCAAGACUUGACUAUGAAUAUGUGGUAGAACCACUCUCCCAGUUUCACACGGUACCAGUAAUCAUCCAUGUAUCUACCUAUGAAAAGGUUGUUCUUUCUUUUCCUCGCCAUCGAGAGGCAUUGCAGGUGAAGAAUCUUGGAGGAACAAAUUUAUGUAUCAAGGGGUCUCCCUAUCGGGUUUUUUAUGUUGAUGUACCAGUUCAUCUAAGGACCGUCACUAGCGACCAAUCAGCGAGUGAUCAUUACCCUGAAGAACCUGCCUCUAGAUAUGUGAACAACUAAAUGCUGUCGACUUACUGUGCCUUAUAAUAUGUUGAUCAAGAGACAAGGUGUAUGGUUGAUCCAUCUGGGUACACAUGAUUUAUCCGUUCUUGGAAACUAAUAAGAAUGUUACAUGCUAUUGCAAUUAAGGUUACUGAUACCAAAGUGGGUGGGGCUUCUGGUUUGCCGGCAAAAGUACCAUCUCUUUUUUUAUUAAAUAUACUUUCAUCUUAGAGAAGGCACAAUAUCUUCAUGGAGUAAGAAAGAGGUAUAGGUAUGCCAGUGCGCCUUCCAUGUCUUCGGCAGGUGUGGUUCACCCAUUUGAGUGCUGUAUUCCACCAACAUUGCUUGACAAUGAUGCUAUUUGAAAAUAUUUCUUGGGGGCAGUUCUACAACCUGAUCAGACCCAUACAUUGCUCAUACGCACAUGUCUGAGUUCGAAUUAAACUGCUAAAUGACAGAUCAUUCUUGCUCUAUAUUGACAAGGACUAUCCUUUUAUGUCAUUGCAUAAGAUGUUGUCUAUUUCAAUGGAAAAUUGGAUCAGUAAGGGAGAGAUGGAGCUUAUUCAAUGGACACCUAAAUAUGGAUUAGUGGGGUAUGUGGUUAUUUAACUGGUUCCGCUUCAGAUAACAGGCUUGCCCUGUAACCUAAGUUCAGUGCUGGUAAUUGAGUAUAUACUUGGUCCUUUCGGAUUAGUAGAAUCACAUGACUCGAUCACCAAUGACGGUACAUAUGAUUGUGGUAGAUCAAUCACUAAAUACAAUUGCACCAUGUGGUGUGCUGACGGAGAUGUCAUACCAGCUACAUUGCAAGCCAACAUGUUGUUGUAAUGCUGUUGUGUCUGACGGAUUUGAUGCAAAUUUCUAUGGAUAACAAUUACAAAUGCUGAAUCCUUUGUAUCAACAUGAGCUAAUACAACUUCAGUUGCUGAGCACUUUA